CUAACACUAGUUAAAAAGCCUCCCAGCCAGCCAGGUGGGUGUGCACGUCAGGACCUGUGAGAAGUUGUGCUGUUGGAGGGACUGAGUGGCACACACCAUACUAAGUACAAGGAAGGAGGCCCUGAGGUAUAACAAAGUAUUCCUUAGGACUGAAUCAAACACAGCAAUGCCUCCAUUUUAGCAGCAUAGAUCAAUUCUCCCUUCCAGGCUAAUGUAUCACCAAACGAUGUCCAUCUCCACCCCUUUUUGUUCUUUAGUAGAGUCACCAUUCAGAAAUAAAUGCCUCCCUCCCAUUCAUGGGGGCCACUGAUGGAUGUGCCAGGACUCCUAAACAGCCUUCCUUUACUGUUCUGCACAAUGAUCUCGGCAGUAGAAGGUUCAAAAAUCCUUCCAAUGGACCAGCCCAUAUUCAGUACAAAAUCGAUUUACCAUGGCUGUAGUCCCCUUUGUGUUUCUGCAUCAAGCAAGGAGAUUUUAUUCUCCUUCAUUUUUCUGCUCUGGGUUUCCUCUCCAUUGUGCUUGCCUUUGAAGCUUACUGCUCUGUAGAGAUGUUAAGACUUCUCCACUACACAUGCUUUUCUUUUUCCACUACGCAGAUAGCCCAGAUGGAUACUGCACAGUCAAUUGAGAGACUUUGUGCACCCGCAUUAAAAGGCGUUAAUGUCCAGCUAUGAAAGGGGAUUUUCGUCAACGCUUCCAAUCAAAAAUGUAACCAACAAAGUCUAUGUGAAGCUUCCACACUUAUCAGCUUCCUAGAUAAUAAAGUGGGGAGCCAUGCAUUCCUUAUUCCACUUCAGGAACUGCAACAGGUAGUCCCUUUAAGCCUUUGUUUGUUUAGAGAAAUAACUGAAUUAAGCUCAAGGAAACUGCCCAGCGUGGACACAAUUCUCUCAACAAUUAGGAGGAGAUUCAUGAAUCAAAAUCAGCUCAUCCUGCCAUUUUAAAGAGACUAAUGAAGAACUCAAGAUGACAUUUUCACUGUUCUGUGUUCCUUGUUUUUCUUCAGGGAAAUCACAUCUAUUGCAUCAAGAGGGCCUAAUACUCUUUCAGCUGACAAACACCGCAAUAUAUUCUCAUUAAAAUCGUAUAAGUUGUUCAACAUAGGCUUAGCCCUGUCUUGGCUCUAAAAAAGGGGCAAUUAAACAAAUAAAAUGUUCAUGUGAUUCAACUUAUCCUAUCCACAUUCUUUUCUGGUUGUGCAUUUAAGCUUGGUGUAGUGCAACCAAAGGGGAUAGAAGUGGAAAUCUUUAAUGAAGCAAAAAAAAAAGCCUUCCUAGGACCAAAUGAAAGGCUUGAAAUUACCUUAAUUAGCCCAGGGGAAUUUCGUACAA